rnacentral:tRNA from 2 species
AUUUCUUAAACUUAAUUUAUAUAGUUUAAUUAAAACAUUACAUUUUCAUUGUAAAAUUAAAUAUUAUUAUUUUAUAA